rnacentral:rRNA from 1 species
UGGGGAAUAUUGGGGCAAUGGGCGAAAGCCUGACCCAGCAACGCCGCGUGAGGGAAGAAGGGUUUCGGCUCGUAAACCUCUGUCCUAUGGGACGAAAGAGAUGACGGUACCAUAGGAGGAAGCCCCGGCUAACUACGUGCCAGCAGCCGCGGUAAUACGUAGGGGGCGAGCGUUGUCCGGAAUGAUUGGGCGUAAAGGGCGCGUGGGCGGCCUGCUAAGUCUGGAGUGAAAGUCCUGCUUUCAAGGUGGGAAUUGCUUUGGAUACUGGCGGGCUGGAGUGCAGGAGAGGAAAGCGGAAUUACCGGUGUAGCGGUGAAAUGCGUAGAUAUUAGGAGGAACACCAGUGGCGAAGGUGGUCUGCUGGACAGCAACUGACGCUGAGGCGCGAAAGCGUGGGGAGCAAACAGGAUUAGAUACCCUGGUAGU